AACGAACGCUGGCGGCAUGCCUAACACAUGCAAGUCGAACGAACCCUUCGGGGUUAGUGGCGCACGGGUGCGUAACGCGUGGGAAUCUGCCCUUUGCUUCGGAAUAACUCAGGGAAACUUGUGCUAAUACCGGAUAAUGUCUUCGGACCAAAGAUUUAUCGGCAAGGGAUGAGCCCGCGUAGGAUUAGGUAGUUGGUGGGGUAAAGGCCUACCAAGCCGACGAUCCUUAGCUGGUCUGAGAGGAUGAUCAGCCACACUGGGACUGAGACACGGCCCAGACUCCUACGGGAAGCAGCAGUGGGGAAUAUUGGACAAUGGGCGCAAGCCUGAUCCAGCAAUGCCGCGUGAGUGAUGAAGGCCUUAGGGUCGUAAAGCUCUUUUACCAGGGAUGAUAAUGACAGUACCUGGAGAAUAAGCGCCGGCUAACUCCGUG
rnacentral:rRNA from 1 species